AAUCAACGCUGGCGGCGUGCCUCAGACAUGCAAGUCGAACGAUUAAACUUGCCUUCGGGCAAGAUAUAAAGUGGCGCACGGGUGAGUAACACGUAAGUAAUCUACCUUCGAGUGGGGAAUAACGUCCGGAAACGGACGCUAAUACCGCAUAAUGCAGCGGCAUCGUAAGAUGACAGUUGUUAAAGGAGCAAUUCGCUUGAAGAGGAGCUUGCGGCAGAUUAGCUAGUUGGUAAGGUAAUGGCUUACCAAGGCUACGAUCUGUAACCGGUCUAAGAGGACGGUCGGUCACACUGACACUGAAUAACGGGUCAGACUCCUACGGGAGGCAGCAGUCGGGAAUUUUGGG
rnacentral:rRNA from 1 species